UCUAAGUUAAGUGACAGCUAUUGGCUGAAGUCAUAUUGAACCCUGAUCCUCCUGAAUUCUAUCCACGACACCAUCUAGUUGCUCUAUACUUUUCUAAGAUAUUUAGGGUUUUGUGUUAUGUUUGUAUAUGGGUCCUGUUCCCUAGAGGGGCAGCUGUCUGGUGUCAUGGUGCACAGAGCACUUGGUCAGGAGUCAGGAAGACUUAUGUUCCUGAAUUCAGUGGUCUCAAACACUGAUUGUGUGACCCUGGGCAAAUCACUUAACUCUGUCUCAAUUUCCUUUGGAGAAGGAAACGGCAAACCGUUCCAAUAUCUUUGAAAACUCCAGAUGGAAUUUAUGCCCAAAGAGUAAGACACUCCUGACAAUGACUGAAUAUCAACCUAUUCCCUUUAAGACUUCAAGCCCCAAAUGGGCAAGGAAUGUUAAGUAAACACAUUUUGCCACUUUGCUAGAAGCUAGGGGAGGUAUAGCUGAUUGGCUUAGUGGACAGAAUUCUGGAGUCAAGAGCUGAGUUCAAAUCCUUUCUCAGACAUGCAAUAUAACUAUGUAUGAAACAUUUGAACUUUCUGAGCCUCAUCUGUGAAAUGGGAUAACAGCACCCACUUUACAAGGUUGUCAUGGGAAUAAAAUAGAUAACACAUGCAAAGUGUCCUGUAAACCUUAGAGCCCUGUAUAGAUGGUAACAUUGCUAUUUGUCCUUUGUUCUGGAAAAGGAUCAUGGCUUCAGGAAGAUGAUGCUGUGAUACGCAAGUGAAUUGCACUUACGUGAGGGUGACUCACUUUCUCCUUAGGAACCAUCUGGGUCCAGUGGAAGGAAAUAGAUCAGGAUGACUGGAAAAGGCCCUGGAUGCAGACAGCAAACAAAUCCUGCUGUGUGAAUGCAGAGAAGUCCCACGGCCCAGCUGCGACUCUGCUGAGAGGAGAGACAGAUCAGGAGAGUGUGUAAGAGUGAUCAAUGGCAGACAGAUAUGGGAUUGAGGGGACCACUGCUACCCCCUACUUGUGUUGAGGAGAAGCACUGAACACAAACUUGCAAGAAGUCCACUAUGGUGCCCAAGGAGUGGCAAUACCUUUAACUGGCAGGGAUUGUGAAUGAACCUCUGAAAUUAGGGAAGGAAAUGGAGCUCACCAGAUAGUGCCCUCCGCAGCAGGACAGUGUUCAGGUUCCAAUGGACACAUGUAAUCAUCACUAACAUUUAUAGAGCCUCUUAAGAUUUGCAAAGGGUUUCUUCUUAUUUGAUCUUCCACAAGUCUGUGAGGUAGGUGCUAUUAUUAUU